rnacentral:snRNA from 1 species
GGAUGUGAGGGUGAUCUGGCUGCGACAUCUGUCACCCCAUUGAUCGCCAGGGUUGAUAGGGCUGAUCUGGCUGACUAGGCGGGUGUCCCCUUCCACCCUCACCGCUCCGUGUGCGUCCCUCCCAAAGCUGCGUGCUCGUGCUCCGUAGAAGAGGAUGGCCCUCCCUGAACAGACACUGACCGGUCUUCGUUGGAGGGUAUAGGAGUAGCUGCGCUCCCCUGCUAGAACCUCCAAACAAGCUCUCAAAUACAUGGAGUAUUGGCUGUGUGUGUGUGUGUGU